GACGAACCGUCCAAACGUUAUUCGGAAUUACUGGGCUUAAAGGGUGCGUAGGCGGCGCGGAAAGUAGGGUGUGAAAUCCCUCGGCUCAACCGAGGAACUGCGCCCUAAACUACCGUGCUUGAGGGAGAUAGAGGUAAGCGGAACUUAGGGUGGAGCGGUGAAAUGCGUUGAUAUCCUAAGGAACACCGGUGGCGAAAGCGGCUUACUGGAUCUCUUCUGACGCUGAGGCACGAAAGCUAGGGUAGCAAACAGG
rnacentral:rRNA from 1 species